AACGAACGCUGGCGGCAGGCUUAACACAUGCAAGUCGAACGGGUGCAGCAAUGCAUCAGUGGCAGACGGGUGAGUAACACGUGGGAACCUUCCUAGGGGUACGGAACAACUCAGGGAAACUUGAGCUAAUACCGUAUACGUCCGUAAGGAGAAAGAUUCAUCGCCCCUAGACGGGCCCGCGUCGGAUUAGGUAGUUGGUGGGUAACGGCCUACCAAGCCUGCGAUCCGUAGCUGAUCNGAGAGGAUGAUCAGCCACACUGGGACUGAGACACGGCCCAGACUCCUACGGGAGGCAGCAGUGGGGAAUCUUGGACAAUGGGCGCAAGCCUGAUCCAGCCAUGCCGCGUGAGUGAAGAAGGCCUUAGGGUUGUAAAGCUCUUUUACCAGGGACGAUAAUGACGGUACC
rnacentral:rRNA from 1 species